rnacentral:rRNA from 1 species
GAUCAUGGCUCAGAACGAACGCUGGCGGCAUGCCUAACACAUGCAAGUCGAACGAAGUCUUCGGACUUAGUGGCGCACGGGUGCGUAACGCGUGGGAAUCUGCCCUUGGGUGCGGAAUAACUUCUCGAAAGGGAUGCUAAUACCGCAUAAUGUCGUAAGACCAAAGAUUUAUCGCCCAAGGAUGAGCCCGCGUAAGAUUAGCUAGUUGGUGGGGUAAAAGCCUACCAAGGCGACGAUCUUUAGCUGGUCUGAGAGGAUGAUCAGCCACACUGGGACUGAGACACGGCCCAGACUCCUACGGGAGGCAGCAGUGGGGAAUAUUGGACAAUGGGCGAAAGCCUGAUCCAGCAAUGCCGCGUGAGUGAUGAAGGCCCUAGGGUUGUAAAGCUCUUUUACCAGGGAUGAUAAUGACAGUACCUGGAGAAUAAGCUCCGGCUAACUCCGUG